ACCCAACUCCACGGGGUCUGCUGAGACUUGCUGCUCAAAACAAACUUGUGGUUAGCAAGACAAAUAGAGGGGGGAAGGGGUGUUGAUUGGGGUUUUCCAUAUGGCUGAGCAGCCUGUUUCCCCUCAUUAUAGACUGAACUGAAGAUGACAGCCACACUUGUCCAGACAUGUCCCAACAUGUCUUUUAAGCCUGGUCUCCACAACUUGAAAAGCAUGUGUGUUCUGCAGUUGUUGGGUUCCCUUUUCUAUAUAUAGCUUCAUUUUGGUAAUCAUGGCUCAGCUGUCUAUUUCUCCUGCCCUCUCCCUGCUUGUUCUAUCAAUUUAUUCAGAGCAUGUGUGACAAGGCAUCACUAUGAGUGUGAAUUGUGGUGUUUGUGAAGAACAUUGAAUAUACCAUGGGCUGCCAGAAGAAUGAAAAAAACUGUCUUGGAAGAAGUGCAGAAAAAAUAUUCCUUAGAAUCAAGGAUAGCGAGACUUUGUCUCGAUUACUUUGGACAUUUUGUCAGGAGGGACCAGUCUCUGGAGAUGGACAUCAUGCUUGGUAAGGUAGAGGGUCAGUGAAAAAGAGGAAGACCUUCAGUGAGAUGGAUUGACACACUGGCUGCAACAGUGGACUCAAAUGUACCUGCUAUUGUGAGGAUGGCGCAGGAACGGGCAAAAUUUUGUUCUUUUUUUUUUUUUUAUAUAUACGGGUCUCUAUGAGUUGGAGACUGUGUGGAUCAUAGCAAAUUACAGCUAACAUUGGGAAGAAUAGGGAUUCCAGAACACUUAAUUGUGCUCAUGCAGAGCCUGGGCAAAGACCAAGAGGUAGUCCUUCAAACAGAACAAGGGGAUACUGAGUGGUUUAAAAUCAGGUCAGGGUUGUGUCCUUUUACCACACUUUUUGAAUCUGUAUGCUGAGCAAAUAAUCUGAGAAGCUGGACUAUACGAAGAAGAAUGGGGCAACAGUGUAACCGAGUGCCACUCGGGUUCUUGUCCCGUCUUGUUAGCCGAUUGAAGUAAGAUGGACACUGAUUGCAAGGGAACCAGAAAGUGCAGCGCUGGACGACUACGACAGCAUCCUAAGCGGGAAGGCAGGCGCCAAGCUGCACCCGCUUAGCAAGAUUUAACUCAUGGCAAAGAGCUAAUUCUCUUAAAGGAAACUCGGUGCAGAGUGGUGGAGGAAUGGUUGCUAGGAGGCCAAUGGGAACCAGAACAAAAGGAUGCAGCUCACGUGUGCGUUGUUGCACGCUCUGUGGAGGGUUGUGAAAUCAAUCGGUGGGACGCAGCCAGCUUUUUUUUUUCAAAUAAAAUGGAUAGAAACCCUCAGAGUUCUUCCCAUGAAGGAAGGGUAAAAGCUGCUUUGUAAAACUCUUGCUUCAAAAACCCAUAGCACACACCUGGCUCUGUGUGUGCUCAGGUUGCCUGUAAAGUACAUGUCUUGUUGUGGGUCAGGGUAAAAGUCCUAAAAAGAUAGGAAAACACUGCCCUCCACGUCUUGCCAUCCACAGCUGUGUUCUGCUUUGACUCCUGUUAUUUCAUCUGACAUCCCUCUCAGCCACCACCAGGACAAGAGCAGACUGCUGACACACACACGUAGGACAGCAGGGUCCCUGCAGACCUGCACCUUGCCCAGAACUGCCCUCUAUCCUUCUGGGCCAUCCUUUCCUGGUCUGCACCUCAGGGAUCCCCUCCCCAGUGCUCCAGUGGCCUGGGCCCACGGCCAUGGGCAGUUUGUCCACCCUCACAGGAACCAGGGGCUGCUUAGGCCCAGGCCCUGCUGCGGGGAGGCGCUGCUUGCUGUGUUUUCUCCUCCCAGGCUCCCUCGUGUCCCAGGGCCGCGGGGCUCAAUUUGAGGUUCCCAGGAAGAGGGAACCACUCCCCAGGCACUGGGCCCUUCUUCGUCCAGGGAUGCUGUUUACAGGCUCUGUCUUCUCACCCCAGAUAGCCUCCCCCCACCACCCCGUUCUCCCCAGGGCCACUGGGCGUGUGGUCAGCCUGGACGUCUGGGGGGGCACAGGUCCCUCCACUGCCUUCUGAUGUCUCCCUAAAAAAAAAAGUGUGUGUGUGUGCAAAUGUGUGAGUGUGACUGUGUAACCGUGUGCGAGCAUGUGACUGUGUAAGCAUGUGCAAGCGUGCGAGUGUGUAAGCAUGUGCAAGUGUGCAGGCACAUGCAAGUGUGUGAGUGUGCACGUGUGCAAACAUGAUAUGUAUAAGUGAGCGUGUAGGUGUGUGCAUGAGUGUGGAAGGACCAAGGUGGCACUGACUGGGAAGGACAGGGAUAAGAUGGGGCAUGGGCAGGAGAGCCUAACUCCCAAUAGGAAGAAGUCCUGGCUUCCUACUCAGGGCAUUUCUCAGAGUGGGGAGCAAGAGGCCACCCGGUCCAGGGCCAGAGCGUGGACCUCACUUUUGCUCCGGCCCCUCCUGGAGCUUCCUGCUAGUGCCAAUGUAGGACCCACCCAGAUAGGGCGCAGCCAGAAGAGGGCUCAGCAGUGCACCCUUCCUCCAGGGUGGGGGAGGUGAGUGUGUCAGGAAGAUGCAGGUGGUCCUGGCCACCUUUUCUCUUUUCUGACACUCAUUCUUGGCAAAGAUCUCACUCCCGAGCUCCAGGAAACCAAACCGCGAGUGGAACUCACGGUCAGUUUGUCCAAAUCCUUCUCCCACCCCCCGGGGACACAUCCCCUGCUUCCUCCCCCUCAUCAAACCCCCUCCCCCACCUGUCCUGAGAAUACCCUGAGCUGGGACAGAGGAAAGCAGGCCUGGGCUGGUGAGAAGGGCAGGGCGGGGCACAGGGACAGGAAUAAGAGGCAAGGUGUGUUUAGAACCCAGACCUCACAUCCUUCUCCUGUAGGGUGGAGGCUGAGGACCCAGAGCACAAAUAUAUUAGGCCAUGGCACACACAGUAAGACUUAGAUCUCAGCAGAGGCUGACUUCCAUGAGAGCGGAGUGGUGGAGCAGGGAUGGCAAGGGGCCCCAGGGAGAGGACCCUCGGGGGUGGGGCACCACAGGAGGCAGCCCUGGGGAAAAGGCUGGUCAUACAGGCCAAGCCUAACUCUAGGGAGAUGCCCUGGGGGGUGGGACAUGAAGGUCCUGCUCUUUAGAGGCCACAGGAGGAGGCUCUGGGGAUUUGCCCUCCCUCAGACCCAGGUGACCUGAAGGAGGUGAGAACUGAACCUUUUACUUUGGGCACGUUUUCGGCCAUUCUUGGGGUGGGAUGUAAGCAGAAGGGGAUGCUGCGGCCGCCCCCAGCCCCACAGACCCCAGGAAAGAAGGGGACCCCAGGGUCUCUGUGAUGCCUGUGCAGGCCAGGGUUCCCAGCCCGGGGUGAAGGGCCUGACCCUGGGCUCUCCCCAGGCCCAGAGCCUCAAACUGCGCUGCCCAUCCUCCCUUGUGUCCCGACCCCAGACCAUGAAGGUCGCCGGCCUUGUGCUGCUGAUGGCGUUGUUGUGCACGGAGCUUAAUGAGCUGGGGGAGGAGGGCACGAUGGAGUGGGGGGUGAUGAUGGGGCGGGGCCAGGGUGGGGACACAACUAGGAGGAGAUGACAGGAUUGGGUGAGGUCCCUGUGUAUAGUCGCUGUUUAUGUUGGUGAAAGAAGGUAUUUGCAGUGAAGAAGUCGUUGGUCUUGCAAAAUUCUAUCAUUCGAUCUCCGGCAUUGUUUCUAUCACCAAGGCUAUAUUUUCCAACUAUUGGUCCUUCUUCUUUGUUUCCAACUUUUGCAUUCCAAUCGCCAGUAAUUAUCAAUGCAUCUUGCUUGCAUGUUCGAUCAAUUUCAGGCUGCAGCAGCUGAUAAAAAUCUUCUAUUUCUUCAUCUUUGGCCCUAGUGGUUGGUGCAUAAAUUUGAAUAAUAGUCGUAUUAAGUGGUCUCCCUUGUAGGCGUAUGGAUAUUAUCCUAUCACUGACAGCAUUGUACUUCAGGAUAGAUCUUGAAACGUUCUUUUUGACGAUGAAUGCAACUCCAUUCCUCUUCAAGUUGUCAUUUCCAGCAUAGUAGAUUAUAUGAUUGUCCAAUUCAAAAUGGCCAAUACCAGUCCAUUUCAGCUCACUGAAGCCUAGGAUAUACAUGUUUAUG